UCCCGAUAAGGGCACACCCGUCGCGAGGCGGGGCCGCAAAGCCACGGGCCAGGCGAGGCGCCUGACGGCCGGGCUACCGAA
rfam:Candidatus Rokubacteria bacterium 13_2_20CM_69_15_1 13_2_20cm_scaffold_3579, whole genome shotgun sequence.